AAUGUGGAGCCGUAGCGAAAGCGAGUCUGAAUAGGGCGUUUAGUAUUUGGUCGUAGACCCGAAACCAGGUGAUCUACCCUUGGUCAGGUUGAAGUUCAGGUAACACUGAAUGGAGGACCGAACCGACUUACGUUGAAAAGUGAGCGGAUGAACUGAGGGGAGCGGAGAAAUUCCAAUCGAACCUGGAGAUAGCUGGUUCUCUCCGAAAUAGCUUUAGGGCUAGCCUCAAGUGAUGAUUAUUGGAGGUAGAGCACUGUUUGGACGAGGGGCCCCUCUCGGGUUACCGAAUUCAGACAAACUCCGAAUGCCAAUUAAUUUAACUUGGGAGUCAGAACAUGGGUGAUAAGGUCCGUGUUCGAAAGGGAAACAGCCCAGACCACCAGCUAAGGUCCCAAAAUAUAUGUUAAGUGGAAAAGGAUGUGGCGUUGCCCAGACAACUAGGAUGUUGGCUUAGAAGCAGCCAUCAUUUAAAGAGUGCGUAAUAGCUCACUAGUCGAGUGACACUGCGCCGAAAAUGUACCGGGGCUAAACAUAUUACCGAAGCUGUGGAUUGUCCUUUGGACAAUGGUAGGAGAGCGUUCUAAGGGCGUUGAAGCAUGAUCGUAAGGACAUGUGGAGCGCUUAGAAGUGAGAAUGCCGGUGUGAGUAGCGAAAGACGGGUGAGAAUCCCGUCCACCGAUUGACUAAGGUUUCCAGAGGAAGGCUCGUCCGCUCUGGGUUAGUCGGGUCCUAAGCUGAGGCCGACAGGCGUAGGCGAUGGAUAACAGGUUGAUAUUCCUGUACCACCUAUAAUCGUUUUAAUCGAUGGGGGGACGCAGUAGGAUAGGCGAAGCGUGCGAUUGGAUUGCACGUCUAAGCAGUAAGGCUGAGUAUUAGGCAAAUCCGGUACUCGUUAAGGCUGAGCUGUGAUGGGGAGAAGACAUUGUGUCUUCGAGUCGUUGAUUUCACACUGCCGAGAAAAGCCUCUAGAUAGAAAAUAGGUGCCCGUACCGCAAACCGACACAGGUAGUCAAGAUGAGAAUUCUAAGGUGAGCGAGCGAACUCUCGUUAAGGAACUCGGCAAAAUGACCC
rnacentral:rRNA from 1 species